UACGUAGGUGGCAAGCGUUGUCCGGAUUUAUUGGGCGUAAAGCGCGCGCAGGCGGUUUCUUAAGUCUGAUGUGAAAGCCCCCGGCUCAACCGGGGAGGGUCAUUGGAAACUGGGAGACUUGAGUGCAGAAGAGGAAAGUGGAAUUCCAUGUGUAGCGGUGAAAUGCGUAGAUAUAUGGAGGAACACCAGUGGCGAAGGCGACUUUCUGGUCUGUAACUGACACUGAGGCUCGAAAGCGUGGGGAGCAAACAGG
rnacentral:rRNA from 1 species